CGAGUAGACGGUUAUCCAAGUCGGUUGUGAAAACUUAGUGCUCAACAUUAAGCGUGCAACUGAAACUGGACUACUAGAGUGCAGGAGAGGAAAAUGGAACUCCUAGUGUAGCGGUGAAAUGCGUAGAUAUUAGGAGGAACACCAGUGGCGAAGGCGAUUUUCUGGACUGUAACUGACGUUGAGGAGCGAAAGUGUGGGGAGCAAACA
rnacentral:rRNA from 1 species